rnacentral:misc_RNA from 1 species
AAGUCGUAACAAGGUAACCGUAGGUGAACCUGCGGUUGGAUCAUUAACAGAAUUGGUCGAAUUCAUUCCCCGCUUUGGGCUUGGGAUGGCGAUUGCAUUGCAUUGCAUCCCUGGGACAAUGCUGGUUGGUACUGUCGCGCCAGCAGGUAACCCUUCGCUGCGGCGGUUCUCUUGCCUAUGCGAUGGUGUAUCUGCGAUGCGGCCGCUGCCAUUGUCCUGGGGAGCGCAGCGCUAGAUGUGGCCUCCUGGGACCCGUGGUUUGGGGAAUGAAGGACUAGUGGAGAGGUCGACAGAGUCAACGACAAUGUCUGCUUCUCCCAAUGUUUCCACGCCAUGUUAUUCUAUUUGUAUCCCUGACAAGUGACGCAAAAAAUGUUGAUUGCAUGAACAACUUUUGGCAACGGAUCUCUUGGCUCUC